rnacentral:rRNA from 1 species
AUGAGCUUAUCUACUGCCAUCGUGACCAUCCGUAUCGCCAAUGAGUGUGCCACUUUCUGGCAGUGGACCAAAUCUGCCAUUUCAUCCCUGCACUCGCAAUGGAGUGGUGCACAGAAGCAAGAUCUCAAGGGUCGUGUACUGGAGUUGGAGAGUGGCCUGCAAUGUCUCAGGGAAACUCUCCCUGCAAUGUAUGACCUCAUUAAUAAAGCAGAGUGGAGGAGCCAUGACGACCUUGUGGCAAGCGUCCUUCCGAAUCUCAAGGAUGCAGUGUCUGAUGCCGAGGAUCUUCUUGAUGAGUUCGGAUGGUAUGAGAAGAAGGUGCAAGUGGAGGGCAAUGCAAGCCAGUCACCUUUCAUUGAAUUCUCAGAUACCGUCAUCCAAGGCAGCUUCAACAAACUAGAUGGCAUCCAGUUGAGGUUGAAUCGUCUUUCGGGUGAGCUUGAGGGGCUUCGUGGAAUUGUACAACGCUUUGACAGAUUAGUCAGGCCAGAGAACAUCUCCUCUUUAUCGGAAAAGAGAAAAAAUAUAUUCUUGGGUCAUGACAAGGAGCUGAAGCAAGUCUUGGGAUUUCUCAAUGUACUUGAAUGCAAGAGAGCAACUAGUCCAAUCAAUGCAUCAACAAGCAACCAUGUCAAUAAUGAAUCAAGUCUUCCUGUUUUCGUGAUAGGUGGAAUUGGUGGUGUCGGAAAGACUACAUUGGCCCAGCAUAUCAUCAACCAUCAACAAGUUCAUUCACAGUUUGAGAAGAGAAUUUGGAUUUGUGUCUCAGAUGACUUUGAUGUUAAGAGGUUAACUAAAGAGGUCAUACAAUCCUUUACUGGAAAAGAGGCAACUACUGAGAGUAGUUUGGAAUCUCUUCAAAAUGCUCUGAAGAAGCACGUGAACAAUAAAAGGUUAUUGAUUGUCCUUGAUGAUGUGUGGGAUGAUGCCUUGAAGGAUAAUGGGCGGUGUUGGGAGAAGUUUUGUGCACCUUUUUGCGGUGUCCAAGAGGGAAGUGCGAUGUUGGUCACAACUAGAUGUGAAAAUGUUACCAAGGGGGUGUGCACAAAUGAGUCUGUUACAUUAGAUGGUCUAAAUGAUGAUGCCUUUAGGGAAUUCUUCAAAUUAUGCAUGUUUGGAUCUGAGGAUUGUAGAAAUUAUCCUGACUUGGAGUGCAUUGGUGAAAGUAUACUUCCUAAAUUGAAGGGCUCUCCUUUGGCUACCAUUACUCUGGGACGCAUGUUGAAAGCAAUUCCUGAAGUGUCACAUUGGAAGUCUAUACUUGAGAGUGAACUGUGGGAGUUGGAACAAAAGGAGACUGACAUUUUACCUGCCCUUCGGUUGAGCUACAUAUAUUUACCAUUCUAUUUGAAGCAAUGCUUCGCAUUCUGUGCUUUGUACCUCCAAUUCAAAAUAUUGGCUGUCAGUAUUUUGAAGACCUUGUAG